GGCCGCGGCCUCCUGCGCCCCAACCCGCGCAUGCGCAGCGGGGCCUGGCCCACGAGGGCGUUGCAGGAGUGUCCCGCCGCCGCGCCGGGGCCACCCGGACCCCCAGACUUGCCCCGGCCGCCCGCUCGGAUGUGAGAAAGGACCCCCGCCCUGCAGGGGAAACUUGUCUGGUGUCCAGAAGAUUUAGAGUCCACGGUGGAGGUCUGGGUGUCAUAUUGCUGUCUCUCCUUGAAGAAGAUGAACACAUAGGGAGAAGGCGCCUGGGAGCUGUCGCUACAGUCUAGAGAAGCCCCACCUUGGCCCAGGACCAGACAGUCCUGGUGGUGGAUCCUGGCUCUGCUGAAGCCACAGCUUGUGCAUCUGGACGAUGGGGACAGCGCAGUGCCCCCAUCACAGAUGGUGAUGACUCCUGGAGGUGGUGCGCACAAGCUCGUGGCAUGGCGUCUGGUGCACAGGAGGCGCUAGAACAUGGAAGCUAUCAUUGGAGCUCGUGUGACCCAGGAUGGCCACCUUGGGUCUCUGACACCCUGGAGCUGGGCUGUGUCCCAAGGCUGGUUCAUCUUUGGUCCAGCCUCCAGGAAAAGAGCACUGGACUGGGGUCAGAAGAAGCAGAGGCCAGGGGUUCUGCCACCAACCCACUGUGUAAUCCGAGGCAAGUCCCUGAGCUGCUUUGAGCCUCAGUCUUCCCGUCUGGCAAAUGGGGAUGAUAAUCAUAACCGCCACUGAUUGUGAACUUAGUGCCAGGCACUCCACCAGGGUCUGUACAUUUCCUUAUCUAAUUCUACCCUCAGAACAGCCAAGUGAGGUAAAGAC